AUGAGUCUUCGCUUAAAAGAGGCUGGGGUUAUGCUCUCCAGUUUCGCCCAAGGAUGGGGCCGCGACCGAUCAGGUUGUUGGUGAGGUAAUGGCUCACCAAGCCUUUUACCGGUGCGGGCCGUGAGAGCGGGAGCCCGGAGAUGGGCACUGAGACAAGGGCCCAGGCCCUACGGGGCGCAGCAGUCGCGAAAACUUUGCAAUAAGCGAAAGCUUGACAGGGCUAUCCCGAGUGCCAUCCGCUGAGGAAGGCUUUUACCCAGUCUAGAACGCUGGGGGAAUAAGGAGAGGGCAAGUCUGGUGUCAGCCGCCGCGGUAAUACCAGCUCUCCGAGUGGUGUGGAUGUUUAUUGGGCCUAAAGCAUCCGUAGCUGGCCAGGUUAGUCCCCUGUUAAAUCCACCGAAUUAAUCGUUGGAUUGCGGGGGAUACUGCUUGGCUAGGGGACGAGAGAGGCAGACGGUAUUUCCGGGGUAGGGGUGAAAUCCUAUAAUCCCGGGAAGACCACCAGUGGCGAAGGCUGUCUGCUAGAACGCGCCCGACGGUGAGGGAUGAAAGCUGGGGGAGCGAACCGGAUUAGAUACCCGGGUAGUCCCAGCUGUAAACGAUGCAGACUAGGUGUUUGGACGGCCACGUGCCGUUCUAGUGCCGCAGGGAAGCUGUUA
rnacentral:rRNA from 1 species